UACGAAGGGUGCUAGCGUUGUUCGGAAUCACUGGGCGUAAAGCGCGCGUAGGCGGCUUUUCAAGUCAGGGGUGAAAUCCUUGGGCUCAACCCAAGAAUUGCCUUUGAAACUGUGAAGCUAGAGUGUCGGAGGGGAUAGCGGAAUUGCUAAUGUAGAGGUGAAAUUCGUAGAUAUUAGCAGGAACACCGGUGGCGAAGGCGGCUAUCUGGACGACAACUGACGCUGAGGCGCGAAAGCGUGGGGAUCAAACAGG
rnacentral:rRNA from 1 species